CCUACGGGGCGCAGCAGUGGGGAAUAUUGCACAAUGGGGGAAACCCUGAUGCAGCAACGCCGCGUGGGUGAAGGAGCGUUUCGGCGCGUAAAGCCCUGUCAGCUGGGAAGAAGAAAGACGGUACCCGACCACGACGCCCCGGCUAACCACGUGCCAGCAGCCGCGGUAAUACGUAGGGGGCGAGCGUUAUCCGGAAUUACUGGGUGUAAAGGGCGUGUAGGCGGGCUUGCAAGUCAGAUGUGAAAACUAUGGGCUCAACCCAUAGCCUGCAUUUGAAACUGUAGGUCUUGAGUGAUGGAGAGGCAGGCGGAAUUCCGUGGGUAGCGGUGAAAUGCGUAGAUAUACGGAGGAACACCAGUGGCGAAGGCGGCCUGCUGGACAUUAACUGACGCUGAGGCGCGAAAGCGUGGGGAGCAAACAGGAUUAGAUACCCCUGUAGUC
rnacentral:rRNA from 1 species